CGCGUAGGUGGUUUGUUAAGUUGGAUGUGAAAGCCCCGGGCUCAACCUGGGAACUGCAUCCAAAACUGGCAAGCUAGAAUACGGUAGAGGGUGGUGGAAUUUCCUGUGUAGCGGUGAAAUGCGUAGAUAUAGGAAGGAACACCAGUGGCGAAGGCGACCACCUGGACUGAUACUGACACUGAGGUGCGAAAGCGCGGGGAGCAAACA
rnacentral:rRNA from 1 species